rnacentral:rRNA from 1 species
UACGGAGGAUGCAAGCGUUAUCCGGAAUGAUUGGGCGUAAAGGGUCCGCAGGUGGCAAUGUGUGUCUGCUGUCAAAGAAUGAGGCUUAACCUCAUCAAGGCAGUGGAAACUACAUAGCUAGAGUACGGUCGGGGUAGAAGGAAUUCCUGGUGUAGCGGUGAAAUGCGUAGAGAUCAGGAAGAACACCGGUGGCGAAGGCGUUCUGCUAGACCUGUACUGACACUGAGGGACGAAAGCUAGGGGAGCGAAUGGG